AUGGCCAAGAGGAAUCAGGGCUGCUAAGGAAGCAAAAAAAGGCUAAGCAAGCAUCUAAAAAGACUGCAAUGGCUGCUGCUAAGGCACCUACAAAGGCAGCACCUAAGCAAAAGACUGUGAAGGUUGUGAAAGUUUCAGCUCCCCAAGUUGGUGGAAAACGCUAAGCUGGCAGAUUCUAUUUUUAAAUAGAUUGGAUUUAAAA
rnacentral:lncRNA from 1 species